rnacentral:lncRNA from 1 species
AAACUAAUGAGCAGUACAAAUUAGGGCAACCGCAAAAUCUUCGGAGGGUAAACAAUUUGCAGGCUAAUAUAGAGUAGAUAAAGGCAUACGUAUGUCUACAAAUUCAGUGGUGGUUGGGAUUUGACUUUGAUGCAAUCUGGUAAAGGAGGUAACCGGAGCACAGCUUCCUCCGUCACAAUCGGGUCCGACCUCAAAAUCUACAAAUCCAUACUUAAUAUUACACACACACACAAUAGAGAGAGAGAGAGAGAGAGAGAGAGAGAGAGAGAGAGGAGAUCUUACUGGAUCUUGGAGGAGUGGUUUGGUGUCAUCUUUAGCUGGUCUGAAAAGGGGUUUCUUGUGUUCUCUCUUCAUUUCAGAUUCUCCAUUGUUAACCUCCGAUGAUUUCAUUUUCGAUUCUUUUUGCUCUCUGCCUGCCCGAUCGCCGCCUUCCCUUUGUAGAAAUUUUCACUUCUCCAAAUGUGAAAACAAUACAUUUCAGAAGAAACAUCAUAAACGGCAACGAAUCCGUUCCGUGAUAGCAAAUUAAAACUAAUGAGCAGUACAAAUUAGGGCAACCGCAAAAUCAUCGGAGGGUAAACAAUUUGCAGCCUAAUAUAGAGUAGAUAAAGGCAUACAUAUGUCUACAAAUUCAGUGGUGGUUGGGAUUUGACUUUGAUGCAAUCUGGUAAAGGAGGUAACCGGAGCACAGCUUCCUCCGUCACAAUCGGGUCCGACCUCAAAAUCUACAAAUCCAUACUUAAUAUUACACACACACAAAAUAGAGAGAGAGAGAGAGAGAGAGGAGAUCUUACUGGAUCUUGGAGGAGUGGUUUGGUGUCAUCUUUAGCUGGUCUGAAAAGGGGUUUCUUGUGUUCUCUCUUCAUUUCAGAUUCUCCAUUGUUAACCUCCGAUGAUUUCAUUUUCGAUUCUUUUUGCUCUCUGCCUGCCCGAUCGCCGCCUUC